CAACUCCUCUAAGGUUAGCGGUUGAAGCCAGGCUCUCUGACUUUAAGUCUAGUGCUCUUUCCACUGUGUAACAAAGAUUAAUGAAGAGAAAUCAUGUCCUAUUGUCCCUGGUAGAAAAAGCAAAGAUACUGCUACAUAAUCAUUCAUCUGCAGAUGUCUUUGUCAGCAAAUGUAGUAACUUACACAGAAGUCCUCAAACUAGAAUGAAUCCUCAGGUGUUUGAUCUAUACACAGCACAUUCCCUCAGGGAUAAUGCAACCUUGGGGUGAGGAGAGACCUUGGAAUGUGGGGGAUAUUUCUGAGGAUGGAGAGAAGAGUUCACCUGUACUGAUG
rnacentral:lncRNA from 1 species